AUUGAACGCUGGCGGCGUGCCUAAUACAUGCAAGUCGAACGGAGUGGCGCACGGGUGAGCAAUAUAUAGCUAAUCUGCCCCUUGCUGUAGGACAAAAGUAAGAAAUGACUGCUAAUACGCCAUAGCAAGGGAUGAGACUACAUCGUAUCAGCUAGUCGGUGGGGUAACGGCCGACCGAGGCUAUGACGCGUAACUGGUCUGAGAGGAUGAUCAGUCACAUUGGAACUGAGACACGGUCCAAACUCCUACGGAAUGGAGCAGUAGGGGAUCUUGCGCAAUGGGGGAAACCCUGACGCAGCAACGCCGCGUGGAGGAUGACACUUUUCGGAGCGUAAACUCCUUUUGUUAGGGAAGCGGUACCUAACGAAUAAGCACCGGCUAACUCCGUGCCAGCAGCCGCGGUAAUUC
rnacentral:rRNA from 1 species